rnacentral:rRNA from 1 species
GACGUAGGGCGCGAGCGUUGUCCGGAUUUAUUGGGCGUAAAGAGCUCGUAGGCGGCUUGUUGCGUCAGCUGUGAAAACCCGCAGCUCAACUGUGGGCUUGCAGCUGAUACGGGCAGGCUUGAGUUCGGUAGGGGAGACUGGAAUUCCUGGUGUAGCGGUGGAAUGCGCAGAUAUCAGGAGGAACACCAGCGGCGAAGGCGGCAUCCUGG